rnacentral:rRNA from 1 species
ACGCGGCGGACGGCUCAGGACGACGGUUGCACCCCCCGCGGCGGUCCCUGCUAGCCGGACACCGCUGGCAACCCGGCGCCAAGACGUGCGCGCAAGGGCGGGCGCCCGCGGGCGAGCAGCGUGACGCAGCGACGGCCCGCCCGGGCUUCCGGGGCAUCACCCGGUCGGCGCGGUCGCGGCGCGCCGAGGGCCCGACGCCUGGGCGGAGAAUCAGGGUUCGAC